rnacentral:rRNA from 1 species
GCACCGCCGGUAAAACGUAGGGGUAACCUUUGUCCCGGAAAUUACUGGGCGUAAGCGCACCAGGCGGGCCCUAUCAAUCGUUGUAAAAAGUCAAGUGGCUCAACUGACUGUAAGACGGCCGAUACUGAUGAGCUAGAGUAUGUGAGAGGGAACGGAAUUCCCGGUGUUACGGUGAAAUGCGUAGAUAUCGGGAGGAACACCAGUGGCGAAGCGGCUUCCUGGCACAAGACUGACGCUCAUGUGCGAAAGCUAGGGUGGCGAACGGGAUUAGAUACCCCGGUAGUCCUAGCCGUAAACGAUGGAUACUGGGUGUGGGUGCCGCAGGCAUCUGUGCCGGAGCGAACGCGUUAAGUAUCCCGCCUGGGGACUACGGUCGCAAGACUGAAACUCAAAGGAAUUGACGGGGGCCAGCACAAGCGGUGGAGCACGUGGUGUUAAUUCGAUGCAAACCGAAGAACCGGACCGGGUUGACAGACGGUGUUAGGCGCGAGAGAUUGCGCUGACCGCACAGAGAUGCGCGGAGCCGCCACAGGGGCUGCAUGGCGUGCGUCAGCUCGU